rnacentral:rRNA from 1 species
AGUGAACGCUGGCGGCGUGCCUAAUACAUGCAAGUCGAACGGAGUGCCGCACGGGUGAGUAAUAUAUAGCUAAUCUGCCCUUUGCUGGAGGACAACAGUUAGAAAUGACUGCUAAUACUCCAUAGCAAGGGAUGAGACUAUAUCGUAUCAGCUGGUCGGUGGGGUAACGGCCGACCGAGGCUAUGACGCGUAACUGGUCUGAGAGGAUGAUCAGUCACAGUUGAACUGAGACACGGGCGAAACUCCUGCGGGAGGCAGCAGUAGGGAGUAUUGCGCAAUGGGGGGAAACCAGACGCAGCAACGCCGCGUGGAGGAUGACACUUUUCGGAGCGUAAACUCCGUUUGUUAGGGAAGCGGUACCGAACGAAUAAGCACCGGCUAACUCCGUGCCAGCAGCCGCGGUAAUAC